rfam:Rattus norvegicus chromosome 16, whole genome shotgun sequence.
GGGGAUUUAGCUCAGUGGUAGAGCGCUUGCCUAGCAAGCACAAGGCCCUGGAUUCAGUCCCCA